UACGAAGGGUGCAAGCGUUGUUCGGAUUUAUUGGGCGUAAAGCGCGCGCAGGCGGAUGAAUGUGUCAGAUGUUAAAUCAUGGGGCCCAACCCCAUAGGUGCGUCUGAAACUGUUCGUCUAGAAUAUCGGAGGGGGUAGGGGAAUUUCUUGUGUAGGGGUAAAAUCCGUAGAGAUAAGAAGGAACACCUGAGGCGAAGGCGCCUACCUGGACGAUUAUUGACGCUGAGGCGCGAAAGCGUGGGGAGCAAACAGG
rnacentral:rRNA from 1 species